UACGGAGGGGGCUAGCGUUGUUCGGAAUUACUGGGCGUAAAGCGCACGUAGGCGGCUUUGUAAGUUAGAGGUGAAAGCCUGGAGCUCAACUCCAGAAUUGCCUUUAAGACUGCAUCGCUUGAAUCGCGGAGAGGUGAGUGGAAUUCCGAGUGUAGAGGUGAAAUUCGUAGAUAUUCGGAAGAACACCAGUGGCGAAGGCGGCUCACUGGACGCGUAUUGACGCUGAGACGCGAAAGCGUGGGGAGCAAACAGG
rnacentral:rRNA from 1 species